rnacentral:rRNA from 1 species
UGCUUAACACAUGCAAGUCGAACGAAACUCUUCGGAGUUUAGUGGCGGACGGGUGAGUAACGCGUGAGAAUCUGCCUUCAGGUUGGGGACAACAGUUGGAAACGACUGCUAAUACCCGAUGUGCCGAGAGGUGAAAGCUUUAGUGCCUGAAGAUGAGCUCGCGUCUGAUUAGCUAGUUGGUGGGGUAACGGCCUACCAAGGCGACGAUCAGUAGCUGGUCUGAGAGGAUGAUCAGCCACACUGGGACUGAGACACGGCCCAGACUCCUACGGGAGGCAGCAGUGGGGAAUUUUCCGCCAUGGGCGCAAGCCUGACGGAGCAAGACCGCGUGAGGGUGUUAGGCUCUUGGGUUGUAAACCUC